UACGUAGGGUCGGAGCGUUGUCCGGAAUCAUUGGGCGUAAAGAGCGCGCAGGCGGUCGUUCAAGUCGAGUGUGAAAGCCCCCGGCUCAACUGGGGAGGGUCACGCGAUACUGCUCGACUCGAAGGCAGGAGAGGGAAGUGGAAUUCCCGGUGUAGUGGUGAAAUGCGUAGAUAUCGGGAGGAACACCAGUGGCGAAGGCGACUUCCUGGCCUGUUCUUGACGCUGAGGCGCGAAAGCUAGGGUAGCAAACGGG
rnacentral:rRNA from 1 species